GACGAACCUUGCUAACGUUAUUCGGAAUUACUGGGCUUAAAGGGUGCGUAGGCGGUGCAGAAAGUUGGGUGUGAAAGCCCUCGGCUCAACCGAGGAAUUGCGCCCAAAACUGCUGCACUAGAGGAAGACAGAGGUACGCGGAACUUAGGGUGGAGCGGUGAAAUGCGUUGAUAUCGAGAGGCACACCGGUGGCGAAGGCGGCCAACUGGACAGAUACUGACGCUGAGACUCGAAAGCGUGGGGAGCAAACAGG
rnacentral:rRNA from 1 species